rnacentral:rRNA from 1 species
GAUGAACGCUGGCGGCGUGCCUAAUACAUGCAAGUCGAGCGAAUGGAUUAAGAGCUUGCUCUUAUGAAGUUAGCGGCGGACGGGUGAGUAACACGUGGGUAACCUGCCCAUAAGACUGGGAUAACUCCGGGAAACCGGGGCUAAUACCGGAUAACAUUUUGAACCGCAUGGUUCGAAAUUGAAAGUCGGCUUCGGCUGUCACUUAUGGAUGGACCCGCGUCGGAUUAGCUAGUUGGUGAGGUAACGGCUCACCAAGGCAACGAUGCGUAGCCGACCUGAGAGGGUGAUCGGCCACACUGGGACUGAGACACGGCCCAGACUCCUAUGGGAGGCAGCAGUAGGGAAUCUUCCGCAAUGGACGAAAGUCUGACGGAGCAACGCCGCGUGAGUGAUGAAGGCUUUCGGGUCGUAAAACUCUGUUGUUAGGGAAGAACAAGUGCUAGUUGAAUAAGCUGGCACCUUGACGGUACCUAACCAGAAAGCCACGGCUAACUACGUGCCAGCAGCCGCGGUAA